GGCGGCGUGCUUAACACAUGCAAGUCGAACGGAGUUUUUAAACGGAAGUUUUCGGAUGGAAGUUUAGAAACUUAGUGGCGGACGGGUGAGUAACGCGUGGGUAACCUGCCUCAUACAGGGGGAUAACAGUUAGAAAUGACUGCUAACACCGCAUAAUAUAGCGAAACCGCAUGAUUUUUGCUAUCAAAUAUUUAUAGGUAUGAGAUGGGCCCGCGUCUGAUUAGCUAGUUGGUGGGGUAAAGGCCUACCAAGGCGACGAUCAGUAGCCGGCUUGAGAGAGUGACCGGCCACAUUGGGACUGAGACACGGCCCAAACUCCUACGGGAGGCAGCAGUGGGGAAUAUUGGACAAUGGGGGAAACCCUGAUCCAGCCGACGCCGCGUGAGUGAAGAAGUAUUUCGGUAUGUAAAGCUCUAUCAGCAGGGAAGAUAAUGACAGUACCUGACUAAGAAGCCCCGGCUAACUACGUGCCAGCCGCGGC
rnacentral:rRNA from 1 species